UACGGAGGUGGCGAGCGUUGUCCGAAGUUACUGGGCGUAAAGCGCACGUAGGCGGCUUUGUAAGUUAGAGGUGAAAGCCCGGGGCUCAACUCCGGAACUGCCUUUAAGACUGCAUCGCUAGAAUUGUGGAGAGGUAAGUGGAAUUCCGAGUGUAGAGGUGAAAUUCGUAGAUAUCGGAAGGAACACCUGUGGCGAAAGCGGCUCACUGGACCAUUACUGACGCUGAUGCACGAAAGCUAGGGGAGCAAACAGG
rnacentral:rRNA from 1 species